rnacentral:rRNA from 1 species
GACGAACGCUGGCUGCGUGCCUCAUACAUGCAAGUAGGACGCAGUUGCGAACGGGUGAGUAACGCGUAGGUAACUACCUAUUAGAGGGGGAUAACUAUUGGAAACGAUCGCUAAUACCGCAUACUAGUAGAUGGACCUGCGUUGUAUUAGCUAGUCGGUAGGAUAAUGGCCUACCUAGUCAACGAUACAUAGCCGAGCGGGGAGGGUGAACGGCCACACGGAGACUGAGAAACGGGCCAGACUCCUACGGGAGGCAGCAGUAGGGGAUCUUCGGCAAUGGGGGGAACACUGACCGAUCAAUGCCGCGUGAGUGAGGAAGGUUUUCGGAUCGUAAAGCGCUGUUGUUAAGGAAGCGGUACUUAACCAGAAAGGGACGGCUAACUACGUGCCAGCAGCCGCGGUAAGAC